CGCGUUGCCUGCCGUAAUUAAGGAGAUGGCAUUUCACAAGCGUAUUGAGAGCCCCGACUUUGGCUGCCCCCAAUCCACGUUGACCAUGACCUGAGUCGAUCGGUUGACCAGCUCAUCGCUAUUCCACAUCCGAUUGGGGUAUAUCACCGGCCCCCAACCGCUUCCCUCCCGAUAAUUUUAAGUACUCUUUAACUCUCUUUUCAAAGUCCUUUUCAUCUUUCCCUUACGAUACUUGUUUGCUAUCGGUCUGUCGCCUGUAUUUAGCCUUGGACGGAAUUCACCACCCGAUUUGGCCUUCAUUCCCAAACUACCCGACUCGUAGACAAUGCCUCGUGGUGCGAAAGGGUCCAGGCACAAUGGGGCUUACACCCUCUCUGGCGUACCCCUCCAGGGGACUUGGACCUGGUUUGCCACUGAGAUCGCUUCUCUAAACUAUAAUUCAAACGACAGAGCCGCCCGAUUCUAAGGAUAGGCUAUUCUCGGUUCGCUCGGCAUUACUAAGAGAAUCCUUGUAAGUUUCGUUUCCUCUUCUUAUUGAUAUGCUUAAACUCAGUGGGUAAUCCCGCGUUACCUAGGGUCGCAGUUGGAGUACCUAAGCGCGAAAGGGUCCUGGAGUCCAAACGCGCGACGGGCUAUAGCCGCGACAACAAAGAGAGUUGAGAUACAACCACCACUUGCCGUGAUGUCCAUCAAUGUGGACUCGUAUAUAGGCCAGCCAUGAGCUCGAGGUGCACGAGAGGCCAGUAUCUUCCAUACGUCAACAACGCGCCCCAUGAUAGAGGUGCGAUGCAAGGGGGCAACGCGAUGCAUGACACCCACGCAGACGUGCCGUCGGCCUAAUAGCUUCGGGCGCAACUUGUGUUCAAAUACUCUAUGGUUCACGGGGUUCUGUAAUUCAUACCAAGUAUUAUAUUUUGCUACGUUCUUCAUUGAUACGAGAGCCGAGAUAUCUAUUGCUGAGAGUCAUUUUUGUUUAAAAAAGAAGCAUAGGUCCCUCUGACGUACUUCGUGAAUGGGGCGCGAAGGGCAGGCUGUUGAUUUAUGUAUUCCUUGGCACUUUUCAUGCCGAGGACAAUAGGAACACCGAAUGCGACCCCAGGUAAUGCGGGAUUACCCGCUGAGUUUAAGCAUAUCAAUACGCGGAGGAAAAGAAACUUACAAGGAUUCCCUUAAUAAAGGUGAGCGAAUUGGGAACAGCCCAGCCUUAAAAUCGAGCAGCUCCAUCGUUUGAAUUAUAGUUUGGAGAAGCAAUCUCAGUGACGAACUUGGCCCAAGUCCCCUGGAAGGGGGCGCCAGAGAGUUUGUGAGCCCCAUUGUGCCCGGACCCUGUCGCACCAUGAGGCACUGUCUACGAGUUGGGUUGUUUGGGAAUGCUGCCCAAAUCAGGCAGUGAAUUCCGUCCAAGGUUAAAUACGGGCGACAGACCUGGGACCCAUUGUGCCCGGACCCUGUGCCGGUCGAGGGAUGAAUUGGGAAUGGUUCCUUCGGGGGCCUUCCCGGCACGUCGAACAACCAACUCAGAACUGGUACGGACAAGGGGAAUUCGAUUAUUUAACUAAGACAAAGUAUUUCGAUGGUCCCAAUGGAUGUUCACGCAUUGUGAUUUCUGCCCAGUGCUCUGAAUGUCAAAGUGAAUAAAUUCAACCAAGCGCGGGUAAGCGGCGGGAGUAACUAUAACUCUCUUAAGGUAGCCAAAUGCCUCUUCAUCUAAUUAGUAAUGCACACAAAUGGAUUAACGAGAUUCCCACUAUCCUUGUCUACUAUCCGGAGAAACCACAACCAAGGGAAUGGGCUUGGCAGAAUCAGCGGGGAAAGAAGACCCUCUUGAGCUUGACUCUACUCUGACAUUGUGAAAUAACUUGAGAGGUGUAGUAUAAGUGGGAGCCGAAAGGUGAAAGUGAAAUACCACUACUUUUAACGUUAUUUUACUUAUUCCGUGAAUCGAAAGCAGGGCACUGCCCCUCUUUUUGAACCCAACGAUCGCUCUGCAGGCUGAUUCGGGUGGAAGAUAUUAUCAGGUGGGAUUGUUUGGCUGGGGCGGUACAUCUGUUAAAAGAUAACACAGGUGAACUAAGAUGAGCUCAACGAGAACAGAAAUAUCGUGUAGAACAAAAGUGUAAAAGCUUGUUUGAUUCUGAUUUCCAGUACGAAUACGAACUAUGAAAGUGUGGCCUAACGAUCCUUUAGACCUUCGAAAUUCAAAGCUAGAGGUGUCAGAAAAGCGUUACCACAAGGAUAACUAGCCUGUUCCAGCCAAGCGUUCAUAGCGACAUUGCUUUUUCAUCCUUUAAUGUUGGAUCUUUCUAUCAUUGUGAAGAAGAAUUCACCAAGUUUUGGAUUGUUCACCCACCAAUAGGGAACGUGAGAUAGGUUUAGACCAUCAUAAGACAGGUUAGUUUUACCCUACUUAUAACAGUGUCGCAGUAGAAAUUCAACCUAGUACAAGAGGAAACGUUGAUUUACAUAAUUUGUCAUCGCGCUUGGUUGAAAAGCAAGUGGUGCAAAGCUACUGUGUGCUGGAUUAUGACUGAACGCCUCUAAGUUAGAAUCCACGCUAGAAGUGACGUAUGCGCCCGCUGUUCGCUUGACGACCCGCAGUAGGGGCCUCGGCCCCCAAGGACAUAUGUCGUUUGGUAACCCACCACGGCGGAAGAGAUGCGGUGGCCGGCUUGAAGUAUAAUUUCCAUCGAGCAGCGGGUUGAAUCCUUUACAGUCGCCUUGCUGCCACGAUCCACUGAGAUUCAUCCCUUUGUCGCUCUGGUUCGU
rnacentral:rRNA from 1 species